CAGAUGUUACAUCAACUGUUUGUGUUUAACCACUUGCAGGCAGAGUGCAGGAUACACCAGGCGGAAGGCACGCUUACAACGCCUGAGGGAGCAUCAUAAUGCAUGUUUAUCCAGGCACAUGGAAUACCUAAAACACCAAAGCCAGGAAGGAAGCCUAGAUUCUGAGAGCAACACAGAGAUAUGCACUCCUGAGAGUUCACAUGUUGAUGUUGGUGAUGACCCAGAUGUACCACCCCUGAGGAGAAC